UAAAUUUAACAUUUCCUUUUUGGCAAAGGUUACGUCUCGCCUCCUUUGACAGCCGAGGGAAGCUGGUCUGCAGUCGCUCCACGGGUUACCAGCUCCUCACCCUGGAGAAGGACCAGGAGUACGUGGUGAUGAACCUGGACAGCCGGCUGCUGUCGUUCCCCCUGUACGUGUGCUGUAACUUCCUGUAUACCUCGCCUCAUUCAGACCACCGUCCAGAUUCCUCGGAGCCAGAAAGCGCCGCUCGCGCUGCGUCUUGAUGGCUUCUGACAGUCACUAGCUGCUACCAUUCCUGUUGACAUGAAGACAUUCACCCAAAGACUAACCGAACUCCUCUUCAGCACACUGACUGCAUGCUUGUGGUGGAGUUUGGGGGUAUUUUCACAUCCAUAUGGGCAGUUUUUGGUACAUUUUGACACCGAGCUGUUCUCAGUGAGGCCCACCAUCUUCUCUUGCCAUGCAUUUAUCCACAAAUGAUCCACUUUUUAAAGUGGAAGGGAGUAGGUGAAAUCUGCUUUUCAGGUUGGGUUUAGGAACUUCAUAGCUUCAAGAUGGGAUGAUAAGCUGGAGGAGGUUUUUUUUAUUUUUAUUUCUGCUUAUUAACUUUUUUUUUAUUUAAAAGUUUAUAUUAGAGCGCUGUCGAAUAAAAAAUGUGAGCUUAACACCACAGGUUUAAAUGGAUUCAUCAUAUAUCAGACCAACUCACUCUCAUCAAAGAAACGGUUCAAAUUUACUAAUGUUUGGUUUAUCAAAAUAUACAUAAAUAUGUGUAAAUUUGAAAAAUAAUCAAAUCUGCCUCAUGUGGACUUGUACAUAUGAAAAUAAUAAGGGAAAAAAAAAGAUUGGCAUGCUGUAGAAGGAAAAUGUCUCUAGUUUAACAUGUUUUUACACUCGUGGUUGCGUGUUUGUUCAAUUUUACAACAGAGCAGCUUCUCAGAACCUGUUUUUUAAUCUUCACCUCGCAUUGAGUGAAGCAGCAUCGUAAAGUCAAGCCAGACUCUUCUGUCUGCUGGGUUGUUCAGAUAUAUUUCCACAGGUUUCCUGCAGUGUUAUUUUCCAUCACUGACGUUCAGUUGGGCUCCUGGUCAUUAUUUAUGGGGGAAGAUGUUUGAAUUACUUGAGUUACAUCUUUAUUCUGAACUCAUAAGAAACACAAAGUAGCCUAAUAGUUACCAAAAUCUGCACAGUUACCUCUUAACUUUGCUUUCAUUCUGCGGAUUUAUUCACUGUCUCUUUGGAUGUGUUUUGAAAAGCUGGGAGAUUCCCAGUUGUAAAUCAGAUGUAUUUUUACCAUUCAUGGAUCUCCAAUGAAUUUGUUUGUACAGCCGUUAUUAUGUGUAAAUUUUGACUUUUUUUAUUUGGGUUUUUAUUUUAUUUUUUUUACCUUUUUAUUUUUGUGGAUGUUUUAUGUUUGCAAAAAGAUACAUUUCUCUUGACUGCCAAUAAAACUGCCCUUCCAUACGGGCCGUGGUGCUAUCAUACAAUCCGAUCUUUUAUUACAGUCUUAUUACAGGUAGACAAACGUGUUUACGAGCAUAAAAGUUAAGAAAUAAAAAAAAUAUGGGGUGAUUUGUCUUGUACUUAUUGUAUUGAGUAAAAGUUUGGACUUCCUGUUCUUUCUCUGUUCAUUUUAGAAAUGUCAAAAUUGUUUAUCAGGUUGUGUUUGAAUCAUUGAAAUAUUCAAAGCAACAGUCAUCCCGAUAAAACAAAUUAAAAGCAAACUGCAUUGAAAG